rnacentral:rRNA from 1 species
UACGUAGGGGGCAAGCGUUGUCCGGAUUUAUUGGGCGUAAAGAGCGUGUGGGCGGUUUGGUAGGUCCGCUGUGAAAACUCGAGGCUCAACCUCGAGACGCCGGUGGAAACCAUCAGGCUAGAGUCCGGAAGAGGAGAGUGGAAUUCCUGGUGUAGCGGUGAAAUGCGCAGAUAUCAGGAAGAACACCCGUGGCUAAGGCGGCUCUCUAGUACGGUACUGACGCUGAGACGCGAAAGCGUGGGGAGCGAACAGG